rnacentral:tRNA from 1 species
CGGUUUAGCUCAGCAGGUAGAGCAGCUGAUUUGUAAUCAGAAGGUCGCGGGUUCGAUUCCUGCAACCGG